CAGUCCAGUUUAACAACCCUUAGCUUUUGUCUAAACUUCAAAGCAGCUUCCUAAAGUGCUGCAUUCCUGUGAAAAGUCCAGGACCUUAGAAGAGCUUUAACAUUUAGGGUGAAAUCAGUGCCAUUCUCUCCUGGACAUGAAACCAGUUGCCUUUUCUAAAUGGUAUAGAGAUAGAAUGGUAUAGAGCCCUGAUGGCGCAGCGUGUUAAAGUGCUGAGCUGCUGAACUUGCAGACCGAAAAGUUGCAGGUUCGAAUCAGGGGAGUGGAAUGAAAGCCUGCUGUUAGCUCCAGCUAAUGCCAACCUAGCAGUUUGAAAACAUGUAAAUGUGAGUAGAUCAGUAGGUACUGCUCUGAUGGGAAGGUAAUGGCACUCCAUGCAGUCAUGCCGGCCACAUGACCUUGGAGGUGUCUAUGGACAAUGCUGGCUCUUCUGCUUAGAAAUGGAGAUGAGCACCAACCCCCAGAAUCAAACACGACUGGACUUAAUGUUAGGGGAAAACCUUUACUUUUACCUAUAGAGAUAGAGAAAAGCAUCUUGAUCUUUAAACUUAAUCAGCAAAAUGUUUUGGGUUUCACAUUUUCUCUCUUUUUUCUCUCUCACAUAGGUCCACUUGGAUAUGCCAAGAAACAUAUAGAUAAGAGACUGAUAGAUAGCAAGCCUGGAGGUGAAAGCCACUGAGUUGAUGAAUGGCAACUUCACAUGGAAAUGGCCUUUGAAGAACUAAUGGAAACAAUUCAAGACUCAAAAGAUUUUGCUUUUAUAAGUUUUUUGCAAGAGCAGCAAGUGUAUCCCAACUGGAAGAUUAAAACUCUCUGUUACCAAUGUCAA